rnacentral:rRNA from 1 species
GGACGACGCUGGCGGCGUGCUUAACACAUGCAAGUCGAACGGAGAUAGGAAGAGCUUGCUCUUCCGAAUCUUAGGUGGCGGACGGGUGAGUAACGCGUGAGCAACCUGCCUUUCAGAGGGGGACAACGUUUGGAAACGAACGCUAAUACCGCAUAAGAUCGUAGGGCCACAUGGUCCAGCGACCAAAGGAGCAAUCCGCUGAAAGAUGGGCUCGCGUCUGAUUAGCUAGUUGGCGGGGUAACGGCCUACCAAAGCGACGAUCAGUAGCCGGCCUGAGAGGGUGGACGGCCACAUUGGGACUGAGACACGGCCCAAACUCCUACGGGAGGCAGCAGGUGGGGAAUAUUGCACAAUGGGGGAAACCCUGAUGCAGCGACGCCGCGUGAGUGAAGAAGUAUUUCGGUAUGUAAAGCUCUAUCAGCAGGGAAGAAGAUGACGGUACCUGAGUAAGAAGCCCCGGCUAACUACGUGCCAGCAGCCGCGGUAA